rnacentral:rRNA from 1 species
UUGAACGCUGGCGGCAGGCCUAACACAUGCAAGUCGAGCGCGAAAGUUCUUCGGAAUGAGUAAAGCGGCGGACGGGUGAGUAACGCGUGGGAAUCUGCCUGGUAGUGGGGGACAACGUUCGGAAACGAACGCUAAUACCGCAUACGCCCUACGGGGGAAAGGGGGGGAUCUUCGGACCUCUCGCUAUCAGAUGAGCCCGCGUCGGAUUAGCUAGUUGGUGGGGUAAAGGCCUACCAAGGCGACGAUCCGUAACUGGUCUGAGAGGAUGAUCAGUAACGCUGGAACGGAGACACGGGCCAGACUCCUACGGGAGGCAGCAGUGGGGAAUAUUGGACAAUGGGGGAAACCCUGAUCCAGCCAUGCCGCGUGUGUGAAGAAGGCCUUAGGGUUGUAAAGCACUUUCAGUGGGGAGAAAGGUUGUUUACUUAAUACGUAAGCAAAUUGAUGUUACCCACAGAAGAAGCACCGGCUAACUCCGUGCCAGCAGCCGCAGUAA